rnacentral:rRNA from 1 species
UACGGGAGGCAGCAGGGGGGAAUAUUGCACAAUGGGCGCAAGCCUGAUGCAGCCAUGCCGCGUGUAUGAAGAAGGCCUUCGGGUUGUAAAGUACUUUCAGUCGUGAGGAAGGUGUUAAGGUUAAUAACCUUAGCAAUUGACGUUAGCGACAGAAGAAGCACCGGCUAACUCCGUGCCAGCAGCCGCGGUAAUACGGAGGGUGCGAGCGUUAAUCGGAAUUACUGGGCGUAAAGGGCACGCAGGCGGUUAAUUAAGUUGGAUGUGAAAUCCCCGGGCUUAACCUGGGAAUGGCAUUUCAAGACUGGUUAGCUAGAGUCUUGUAGAGGGGGUAGAAUUCCAUGUGUAGCGGUGAAAUGCGUAGAGAUGUGGAGGAAUACCGGUGGCGAAGGCGGCCCCUGGACAAAGACUGACGCUCAUGUGCGAAAAGCGUGGGGAGCAAACAGGGAUUAGAUACC